AGCGCGAGCCGCCGUGACGUCACGGGCCGCCCGCCAGCCCCGCGCUCCAGCGGGCAGAGCGCGUGCGGCCGCCGAGCACAUGGGCCCGCGGGCCGGGCGGGCUCGGGGCUGCCGGGCCCCGGAGGGGCGGCGAGGGGCCGCGAGCGAGGAUGGGCCCCGGCGCCCCCCGGCGCCCGCGCCGUGGAUUUCCUCACGGAAAGGGAUGUUAGCGGCCCCGGUGACCUGCGGAGACGGCUGAAUCCACCUUCCAGAAGUGGAAGAAAGAAUAAGAACAGACAUUUCCUGGAUGGCCAUCCCUGUGAGGCACGAGAUGAAGAUCCAAGUGUGCUGCCUCAGGAAAGCCACCCUGGCAAGCCCCAGCUGUUCAUCUGGAAAAUGCAUCUUGCAACCGCUUUCGAGGGGUGAAUGAGAGACCAUGUGCGACCUGCACAGGCUGGAACAGAAGGGGCUCAGCGAGGGCAGCGUGCGCCCCUCUCCGCCCUCCCAGCUACAGCUGCUGUCAAAACUUCAUGCUGGAAAGAGAGCAGUUAACCCCAAGGAAGAGGGUUUCUCCAGGGUGUUCUGCGCCAUCCCUGUGUCACUGUGACCAGGGGCCUGUGCAGGAGGUCCCACCCCAGGCCUACUGACCAGCCCUGUGGGGGUAGACCUUGGGGACCUGUGUUGGAACAAGCCUCCCAUGAGCUUGUUGCAUAAGGGUCCCCAACCCAGGGCUCUUUCUGGACUACUGUUCUCACAGGCCUGGUCUUGUGACCAGAAGGGAAUUAGAACGAUAACCCUCAUGACCUGCACCUGCUAGCUGCAUGGAGCUUCAUUCAAGGAUCUUCUGAGCCGUGGAUUUACAGUGAUAUUCGGUUGCCUGGGGAAUUACACCCACGGAAGCAAUCUCUGGAAUUACUCACACUUGGCCCAUUUCUGGAUGCUAAUGGUGGUUGUAAGGAAAGCCCUGACUGAGUGCCUCGCGGAUUUCUGCAGCCUGACGCCCAUGGGGUCAGAGGACCGUGUCUUCUUGCAAGGGCAGAGAUGUCUGUCCUCAUCUCAAACCGGAAUGUUUGUGGGUCUCUGCCAACUCCUUUGGGAGCUCCCUGUGAAAUAAUCCUGUAAUACCUGGGACUUAGGUGUCUUUAAUCUGAAAAAAACACUUGUUCCUUCAAUAUACCAGAUGAACUUGAGAACUGUCCUUCCCUGAACUAAAGCUGGAAUAUCUUGGGGUUUGGGGACGUAAGGUUGGCCUGGAUUUUACAGGAGUCCUGAGCUCCUUUGGAGAUGUGUCUCUCUCCAGCACUGAGCUAUCAGCAUUCUUGAACAUCUCAGGGCCCAGAAGAAAAUGAAGAAAGCUGAUCAACUCUUCAGAAUGGCCUGAAUCAGAGGAGACUGGGAAGAACUUGACAGAGGGCAUAGGCCCAGCAGUCACACUGACCUCAAGAGAAUCAUCCUUGUGCCUGGUGACCAGCGGACAUGUGACCAGGAGAAGGGGGCCAAGAACACAGCCACGUCAACCCGUACAGGGUGAAUGCCCCCAACCACCUCCCCCAUGACACAUAAUACAUUUUCCCCGAGAUGUCCCCCUGAGCUAUCUUCAUUUAAUGUGACUUUGACAGGAUAGCCGGUCUGGAAAUUUUACUUUCAAUUAAACUUCCCUGUUGAACUGCCUUGGUUUUGGAAGGAUCCAUUAGGAUCGUUAAUUAUAUAGCAGUUGCUACAAGGAGGUAUUUGCACUCACUUUCAGCUCCUAGGUAAUUCAAAUCAAAUGCUUUCUUUUCCUCCCUGGAGCCGCAUGUGACCAUCUUCCCCUCACACUGCAGGCUGCUCCUGAGUUAUUUUGGGAAAUCCAAAUCAAAGCAGCAAUUUUGGUGGAGGCCAUUUCUAGCCUAGCAAAGCCAUAUGUACUGAUACAAAGAGCCCAAGUCAGUGCCUUUAAAAAGCAACAAAACCAGCUUCCUCUGUGGGGCUUAAAUUUUGGGGAACUGCAAACUAUCCUUUUUACUAUCAUCUUCCCAUGUGAACUCUACCUGAAGUCAAAGACAACUGGAAUUCCUUUGAAAUUACCAAAGAUCUGUCCAUUUGCAAACUGGUGCUGAAGAUCAUUUUCAAGAUGGCAGGCCUUGGCAGAAUUUUCUGGGGACUCAUGUUUUGGCCUCUGGACCCCCCAUGAAACAUGAAAACCACUUUAUUUUCCCACUCUCUGCUGCUUCUUUCUUUUACCAAGCAUAGGUGACAUACCUCUUUACCCUAAUAAGCAGGCAAACCUCCCUGUGACCCGUUAGAACUUAAGCUCCCUGUGGGCUGGGGCUAAGUUUUUCAUCUUGUUUUGUGCCUGGCACAUGGCAUGUGUUCAAAUAGUUGAAUGAAUAAAAUCCUAUUUCUGUUUUUCUUUGUCAAAAAAAAAAAAUCAUUUAUUAUAUAAAUAAUAAAUAAAUGCUUUCAUAUUGGGAAAAAAAAAAAA